rnacentral:rRNA from 1 species
UACGAAGGGGGCUAGCGUUGCUCGGAAUUACUGGGCGUAAAGGGCGCGUAGGCGGACAGUUUAGUCAGAGGUGAAAGCCCAGGGCUCAACCUUGGAAUUGCCUUUGAUACUGGCUGUCUUGAGUUCGGGAGAGGUGAGUGGAAUGCCGAGUGUAGAGGUGAAAUUCGUAGAUAUUCGGCGGAACACCAGUGGCGAAGGCGACUCACUGGCCCGAUACUGACGCUGA